rnacentral:lncRNA from 1 species
CACAGUAUGGAAAGAGGGGGCAGUAACUUUGCAGUGGAGAAAACGGACAAGCACUACCUUAGCCAGGCGAUCAAGGUCAACGUCAACAGUCAUACAUCUAAUUAAUAACAAUGAACCUGUAUAAUUUCAUCUGUUGUAACGAAUAUCCCCGAUUGAGUGUAGUCAUAGCUCACUGACACAGUCUCAUGAACUACCAGAGUCCGAGGAUGUAUUAUCUGCCUGCUUUUCAUUAUCCAAAUACCCAUUUUACUGAUGAAGAAAUGGAGAUUCAGAGAGGCUGAAAAAUUGAACCAAGUCCACAUUUAGUGUCACACCUAGACCUUGAACUCACAUCUGUCUGACUCCAGAAUUCCCUAAACACCACACUGUACUGGGAAGUACCAAGUGUGUGACAGUGGCAGGAGGAGGGGGGAUCCUGACAGCUGGCUGGGUGUCCAGUGACAAACUUUAAUUCUGUAUUUUAAUGAAGUGAUGACACCCCAACGGGGGGCACCAUACAGGCAAACUAGAAGUAUGUAGGAAGUCCCUGUGUGGCUGCUGUGAGAAAUGGCUCAUGAGGGCAACGAGCUUUGUGUCCCAAGUAGGUCACCCCAGACCUACUGAGAACAGCAAAAUGGAUCCUCUGUAGCUGCCCUCAGAAGACACGCAUCUUUCAGGGGCCAGCGGGGGACACAAUCUCAUGUCAUACAUCAUCAUAACUUAAUGUUGACACUGAAAACUGAAGCCAGCAAGGGGAAUCUCCUCUCCUCAGAAUUCUUAAACAGCAUCCAAGCUGUGGGGGACCCCAUUCACCAGUACUUGCUUCUCAGGUCUUGACCUCAAGAAGUUGGGCAGAAAUCCAAAGGCUCUGGACUCAAGGGUUGGGAUUUGACCUCUGACUUGGCUGCCUGUCUUGUACAACCUUGAGCAAAUCAAUUCACCACUGGGGUCCUUACUUUGUUCAUAUCAAAACAGGAACCACUGCCCUACUGACCUCAUAGAACUUUCCAGCAGAUGAAUAAUGGUACUGAUGGCUAACAGUUACUGCACAGUCACUACAGACCGGUAUUUUGCAGGCAUCAUCACAUUUAAUACUCACAGCAAUCAUGCUGGCCACGUACUUAUAUUAUCCUUAUUUUAUAG